rnacentral:rRNA from 1 species
UACGUAGGGGGCAAGCGUUGUCCGGAAUCAUUGGGCGUAAAGAGCGUGUAGGCGGCCCGAUAAGUCCGCUGUGAAAGUCCAGGGCUCAACCCUGGGAUGCCGGUGGAUACUGUCGGGCUCGAGUCCGGAAGAGGAGUGUGGAAUUCCUGGUGUAGCGGUGAAAUGCGUAGAUAUCUGAAGGAACACCCGUGGCGAAAGCGGCGCGCUGGACCACUACUGACGCUGAGGAACGAAAGCUAGGGGAGCAAACAGG